GACAAACGCUGGCGGCAUGCCUAACACAUGCAAGUCGAACGGGACGCUUGUUUUCGGAUAAGCGUCUAGUGGCGGACGGGUGAGUAACGCGUGAGCAAUCUGCCUUUCAGAGGGGGACAACAGCUGGAAACGGCUGCUAAUACCGCAUAACAUAUCGGGGUGGCAUCAUUCUGAUAUCAAAGAUUUAUCGCUGAAAGAUGAGCUCGCGUCUGAUUAGCUAGUUGGUAGGGUAACGGCCUACCAAGGCGACGAUCAGUAGCCGGACUGAGAGGUUGAACGGCCACAUUGGGACUGAGAUACGGCCCAGACUCCUACGGGAGGCAGCAGUGGGGAAUAUUGGUCAAUGGGGG
rnacentral:rRNA from 1 species